rnacentral:rRNA from 1 species
AGGCUUAACACAUGCAAGUCGAGGGGCAGCAUGGUCUUAGCUUGCUAAGGCCGAUGGCGACCGGCGCACGGGUGAGUAACACGUAUCCAACCUGCCGUCUACUCUUGGACAGCCUUCUGAAAGGAAGAUUAAUACAAGAUGGCAUCAUGAGUCCACAUGUUCACAUGAUUAAAGGUAUUCCGGUAGACGAUGGGGAUGCGUUCCAUUAGAUAGUAGGCGGGGUAACGGCCCACCUAGUCUUCGAUGGAUAGGGGUUCUGAGAGGAAGGUCCCCCACAUUGGAACUGAGACACGGUCCAAACUCCUACGGGAGGCAGCAGUGAGGAAUAUUGGUCAAUGGGCGAGAGCCUGAACCAGCCAAGUAGCGUGAAGGAUGACUGCCCUAUGGGUUGUAAACUUCUUUUAUAAAGGAAUAAAGUCGGGUAUGCAUACCCGUUUGCAUGUACUUUAUGAAUAAGGAUCGGCUAACUCCGUGCCAGCAGCCGCGGUAAUACGGAGGAUCCGAGCGUUAUCCGGAUUUAUUGGGUUUAAAGGGAGCGUAGAUGGAUGUUUAAGUCAGUUGUGAAAGUUUGCGGCUCAACCGUAAAAUUGCAGUUGAUACUGGAUAUCUUGAGUGCAGUUGAGGCAGGCGGAAUUCGUGGUGUAGCGGUGAAAUGCUUAGAUAUCACGAAGAACUCCGAUUGCGAAGGCAGCCUGCUAAGCUGCAACUGACAUUGAGGCUCGAAAGUGUGGGUAUCAAACAGGAUUAGAUACCCUGGUAGUCCACACGGUAAACGAUGAAUACUCGCUGUUUGCGAUAUACUGCAAGCGGCCAAGCGAAAGCGUUAAGUAUUCCACCUGGGGAGUACGCCGGCAACGGUGAAACUCAAAGGAAUUGACGGGGGCCCGCACAAGCGGAGGAACAUGUGGUUUAAUUCGAUGAUACGCGAGGAACCUUACCCGGGCUUAAAUUGCAGAUGAAUUACGGUGAAAGCCGUAAGCCGCAAGGCAUCUGUGAAGGUGCUGCAUGGUUGUCGUCAGCUCGUGCCGUGAGGUGUCGGCUUAAGUGCCAUAACGAGCGCAACCCUUGUUGUCAGUUACUAACAGGUUCCGCUGAGGACUCUGACAAGACUGCCAUCGUAAGAUGUGAGGAAGGUGGGGAUGACGUCAAAUCAGCACGGCCCUUACGUCCGGGGCUACACACGUGUUACAAUGGGGGGUACAGAGGGCUGCUACCACGCAAGUGGAUGCCAAUCCCAAAAACCUCUCUCAGUUCGGAUUGAAGUCUGCAUCCCGACUUCAUGAAGCUGGAUUCGCUAGUAAUCGCGCAUCAGCCACGGCGCGGUGAAUACGUUCCCGGGCCUUGUACACACCGCCCGUCAAGCCAUGGGAGCCGGGGGUACCUGAAGUGCGUAACCGCAAGGAGCGCCCUAGGGUAAAACUGGUGACUGGGGCUAAGUCGU